ACGAACGCUGGCGGCGUGCCUAAUACAUGCAAGUUGAGCGAUGAAGAUUGGUGCUUGCACCAAUUUGAAGAGCAGCGAACGGGUGAGUAACGCGUGGGGAAUCUGCCUUUGAGCGGGGGACAACAUUUGGAAACGAAUGCUAAUACCGCAUAAUAACUUUAAACAUAAGUUUUAAGUUUGAAAGAUGCAAUUGCAUCACUCAAAGAUGAUCCCGCGUUGUAUUAGCUAGUUGGUGAGGUAAAGGCUCACCAAGGCGAUGAUACAUAGCCGACCUGAGAGGGUGAUCGGCCACAUUGGGACUGAGACACGGCCCAAACUCCUACGGGAGGCAGCAGUAGGGAAUCUUCGGCAAUGGACGAAAGUCUGACCGAGCAACGCCGCGUGAGUGAAGAAGGUUUUCGGAUCGUAAAACUCUGUUGGUAGAGAAGAACGUUGGUGAGAGUGGAAAGCUCAUCAAGUGACGGUAACUACCCAGAAAGGGACGGCUAACUACGUG
rnacentral:rRNA from 1 species